UACGGGGGGGGGCAAGCGUUGUUCGGAAUUACUGGGCGUAAAGGGCUCGUAGGCGGCCAACUAAGUCAGACGUGAAAUCCCUCGGCUUAACCGGGGAACUGCGUCUGAUACUGGAUGGCUUGAAUCCGGGAGAGGGAUGCGGAAUUCCAGGUGUAGCGGUGAAAUGCGCAGAUAUCGGGAAGAACACCCGUGGCGAAGGCGGCUCUCUGGGACGGUACUGGACGCUGAGACGCGAAAGCGUGGGGAGCGAACAGG
rnacentral:rRNA from 1 species